rnacentral:lncRNA from 1 species
AAUUUCUUCUUAUACAUACUUAUAUCAUUUAUUUUUCUAAUCUAUAUUUUUUGUCUUAUUUAUGGUACUACAAAGUAAAUAGAAGCCUAUUUUGUAAAAAGGUAGUAUUUGCAUUUUUUAGUUUUACUAUCUUUUUGACUAUUAUCUAUAUUUUUAAGAUAAUUUUUUAUAAUAUGUUUAAAAUAAGAUCUUCUAUAAUAUAAUUUUUUCUUCUUUCUUUCAUUAUAUUUGGAAGACAACACCAUCAAUUAACAACAUUUCAAAUGUAAAUUAUCAAUACUUACUUAAAAUUAUUGUGUUGAAAAAAAAGAUGGCAAUCCUCCAUCUAAAGCUGAGUGUUAAGUUAUUCUAAUGAAGAAAUAGUGCAUUCAUUUUGGAUCUAGCAAAUAAGCAAAUUGAAUCAAUAUAAUAACCUAUUAAGGAUUCUAUGUACAAUAAUGGCAUUGCUAUAUGAAUGACCAAUGUAAAUUAGCUUGCAGUAAAUAUCAUAUAUUUUAGUCAUGAACGUCAUGACAUCCAUAUUAUCUAACAUGUAUAAGAUCUUCCAUUUU